GACUCGGUGGCGGAUGGUCCGCCUCUGCGCCUGCUAUAUAAUUGCCAAGGAUGUACUUUGGCAGAAGACGCCUGUUCGAAUCAGGCCCGAGUCA